AGCUCACUGUAAACUCAUCCCUGUCAAGCGUCACUUUUUUUCCAGGAAUUAUUUUGUUAUUAAAAAGUGCCGGGUAUCGAAAUAGAAAUGGCUUGUUUCUCUCCAAGUAAAAUGCCAAAGUGCUCGCGAUCCAAUGGGAAGUGCAGCCCGGAAAAGGAAGAGCAGCUGCGCGACCAGAUCCACAGCGAGUUGACCAAGGCCAGGUACUGCGCCAACCCGACAUACACUUGCAGCUUGGUUCGUAUUGAAGGGUACAACUUUUGCAUUCGCCACAUUCUGUGGGAUCCACUGGCUCCGUAUCGGCGCUGCGCGUUUGAGUAUUUGAACAAGCGGCAGUGCAUAAACGCAGUGCCCAAAUUUGAUGCCAAGCUAAACGAGAUACAGACCCCCCUCUGCUUCGAGCACAAUCGUCAGCUGCAAGUGCGAAAGACCCAGAUGACCUUGGGUCGUUUUCGGUGUGGCGUGGAGACCAAUGAGACGCUGCUCAAUAGUCUUGCCCAUCACUUAAAUGUGAAGGAGCCCGAGGCUCCGAAGCCCGUGGAGAAUAAUGGUGAUGACGAUGAUGAUGUGAUUGAUGUUGUGUCACCGCAAGUGACCCCAUUUCUCUCGCAGGAUUAUCGCAACAGUGUGGAGCAUGUGGCAGAAGCGGUGGCUUCGCGUAAGCGCGUCAUCGACUAUGCAUCCGAUAUUUCCAGCGACGAUGAGGAGCCGCCGUGUGUAAGGAAUACCCUACCAGAUGUCGAAUUUGAUGAGUCUGAUUAUGAAAGCAUUGACUCGGACUACGAUGAUCCUCUGAAGCAUGGCGGCGUCUACACUCGCGCCGAGGCUGUGAAUAAAACUCUAAGAAAAGUGGAAAAACUUCAGACUCUUUACGGCGAGGAGCUCAAGUUUUUGGCACGACACAUGAGGAAGCGCCGCCGUCAGUAUUUAAUUGACUUACGCAAAGAACAGGAAACCUACUGCAGCAUUAAGGAUCAAAUUAAGAAGUCGCCGCACGAGAUGAAGCUCUACAAAAAGCUGAGGGCUCUCAUCACUUAUCAUCGUCGACAGGGCAAAGAGGCAUAUUUCUACAAGAGAUACAGAGAGAAACGCGACCAGUCCAAGCCGGAUUACGUACGCCAGAGUUUCUACGUCUCAAAGUGCGUCUUCAAUUUGUUUGGGCAUCAGUGUGGAAAGCCAGCGAUACAGUCCACCAAGCACUGCCGCAAGCAUAUCCUGUCGGACAGACGCCAGAUGGUAUUCCGCGAUUGCGGUGGGGAACGUAACGGUAAUGUAUGCGAGGAGCCCGUCUGGGACUUGGGCAACGAGACAUGUGAACUACAUAAAUGCUUGGAGCCGCCUAAGAAACAGUAUAAACAAAAGUUCUAUGAGCCACCGCAUAAUGCGUCAGUAGAAAGUAUUUUUGCCCCUCGAUACACUGUCGUUAAUCAGACAAGAACUGAUCCGACCCCAGUGGGUGGAAAAAUAAUGGAUAUAUCAGAUUGUGGACUUGAAUAUGAUAUCCAAACGGUAGCAGAGCUCGAGAACUUUAUAACUCAUGGGUUUGUUGAUGAGGAUAAUGAAAUAGGCUCAGGUGUCGAAAAUGCCCAACCAAAUGUUGCCAGUCAAGAUACAGAAGCUCCAGCUUCAGCUUCAGCUCCAGCCAGUGUCGCAAGUGAACAAGAAUUAGACCAGUCUGAAAUUUUAUCUGCUGUUGGUGACGCCAACAGCACUUUCAAUGAUGUUUUGAAAAUGCUCGAAGGCAUUGAAACCACCCCUUGGUAUAAAUCCACCAAUGAAGGAGUAGAAAACUAAUCAUACCACGCAUGUAAAUACUUCUAAUCGCAUUCACCUAUAUAAUUUUAUAUAUGUCCAAGACCGAAGACGAAUAUAUUCCUUCUAAAAAACAGAAACUAUCUGCAGACAUAUUGGCUGCAACUAAAAUUCUCAAG